rnacentral:rRNA from 1 species
UAACCGGAUUAGAUACCCUGGUAGUCCACGCCGUAAACGAUGAUAACUAGCUGUCCGGGGACUUGGUCUUUGGGUGGCGCAGCUAACGCAUUAAGUUAUCCGCCUGGGGAGUACGGCCGCAAGGUUAAAACUCAAAUGAAUUGACGGGGGCCUGCACAAGCGGUGGAGCACGUGGUUUAAUUCGAAGCAACGCGCAGAACCUUGCCAGCGUUUGACAUGUCCGGACGAUUUCCAGAGAUGGAUCUCUUCCCAUCGGGGACUGGAACACAGGUGCUGCAUGGCUGUCGUCAGCUCGUGUCGUGAGAUGUUGGGUUAAGUCCCGCAACGAGCGCAACCCUCGCCUUUAGUUACCAUCAUUUAGUUGGGGACUCUAAAGGAACCGCCGGUGAUAAGCCGGAGGAAGGUGGGGAUGACGUA